GUCUGGCGCGGUGGCGCGUGUCUGUAGUCCCAGCUAUUCGGGAGGCUGAGGCUGGAGGAUCUCUUGAGUCCAGGAGUUCUGGGCUGUAGUGCGCUAUGCCGAUUGGGUGUCUGCACUAAGUUUGGCAUCAAUAUGGUGACCUCCGGGGAGCGGGGGACCACCAGGUUGCCUAAGGAGGGGUGAACUGGCCCAGGUGGAAAACAGGGCAGGUCAAAACUCCAGUGCUGAUCAGUAGGGGGAUCGCGCCUGUGAAUAGUCACUGCACUCCAGCCUGGGCAACAUACCGAGACCCUGUCUCU
rnacentral:SRP_RNA from 1 species